CAAGACUGCCCCAAAAAUCAAAACACUCUUACCUCAGCGGUGCCUUGAAGGUAAUCCAGUAAAGCCCUUCACCCAAUUUACCUCAAUGUGUCAGACAUUGAACUUACUUCGUGUGUCCGGAAAACAGUUGUGAAAGCAUUUAGCUCCAUCCAUCGCAAAAGCAACUCUUCACUUCUUCGGUAAUUAAUAAACGAGACGUGCAUUACCUGCAACCAAAAUGCUGAAAUAGGAGCAUUGUAAGUCUUGAGCUCAUUCCAAAUAUGGCGUACAGAUUCUGUGCC